rnacentral:rRNA from 1 species
UACGUAGGGGGCAAGCGUUGUCCGGAAUCAUUGGGCGUAAAGAGCGUGUAGGCGGCCCGAUAAGUCCGCUGUGAAAGUCCAGGGCUCAACCCUGGGAUGCCGGUGGAUACUGUCGGGCUCGAGUCCGGAAGAGGAGUGUGGAAUUCCGUGGUGUAGCGGUGAAAUGCGCAGAUAUCAGGAGGAACACCAAUGGCGAAGGCAGCACUCUGGGACGUGACUGACGCUGAGACGCGAAAGCGUGGGAGCAAACAGG